GUCCGCGUGGCCUAAAUGGAUAAGGCGUCUGAUUUCCCGAAUAAAGAAGAUUCAGGUUCAAUCCUGUCGCGGACA